rnacentral:lncRNA from 1 species
CCCCCCCCCCCCCCCCCCCCCCCCCCCCCCCCCCCCCCCCCCCCCCCCCCCCCCCCCCCCCCCCCCCCCCCCCCCCCCCCCCCCCCCCCCCCAGCAGUUUGUGUCCCCAGAGCAGUUUCUGUCCCCCCCCAGAGCAGUUUCUGGGAUCAUUUUGGGUGAUUUUGGGAAAAACUGGGUGAAUCUGGGAUCAUUUUGGGUGAUUUUGGGGUGAUUUUUGGUGAAUCUGGGACCAUUUUGGGUGAAUCUGGGAUCAUUUUGGGUGAUUUUGGGUGAAUCUGGGAUAAUUUUGGGUGAUUUUGGGUGAAUCUGGGAUCAUUUUGGGUAAUUUAAGGAUCAUUUUGGGUGAAUCUGGGAUCAUUUUGGGUGAUUUUGGGUGAUUCUGGGACCAUUUUUUGUGAAUCUUGGAUCAUUUUGGGUAAUUUUGGGACAAUUUUGGGUGAUUUUUGGUGAAUCUGGGACCUUUUCCCCCCCCCCCCCCCCCCCCCCCCCCCCCCCCCCCCCCCCCCCCCCCCCCCCCCCCCCCCCCCCCCCCCCCCCCCCCCCCCCCCCCCCCCCCCCCCCCCCCCCCCCCCCCC